rnacentral:rRNA from 1 species
GACGAACGCUGGCGGCGUGCCUAAUACAUGCAAGUCGAACGAAUCGCGACUGAGUGCUUGCACUUGGUCAAGGUGAGUGGCGAACGGGUGAGUAACACGUGGGUAACCUACCUCAUAGUGGGGGAUAACAGUCGGAAACGACUGCUAAUACCGCAUAGGACAUAGGAUCACAUGAUCCAGUGAGGAAAGGUGGCGCAAGCUAUCGCUAAGAGAUGGACCCGCGGUGCAUUAGCUAGUUGGUAGGGUAAAGGCCUACCAAGGCGAUGAUGCAUAGCCGACCUGAGAGGGUGAUCGGCCACAUUGGGACUGAGACACGGCCCAAACUCCUACGGGAGGCAGCAGUAGGGAAUCUUCCGCAAUGGACGCAAGUCUGACGGAGCAACGCCGCGUGAGUGAAGAAGGUCUUCGGAUCGUAAAGCUCUGUUGUUAGAGAAGAACAGCGCAUAGAGUAACUGCUAUGCGUGUGACGGUAUCUAACCAGAAAGCCACGGCUAACUACGUG